GACGAACGCUGGCGGCGUGCCUAAUACAUGCAAGUCGAGCGCUGAAGGAUGGUACUUGUACCAACUGGGUGAGCAGCGGACGGGUGAGUAACGCGUGGGGAAUCUUCCUUUUAGCGGGGGACAACAUUUGGAAACGACUGCUAAUACCGCAUAAAAACUUUAAACACAAGAUUCAAGUGUGAAAGAUGCCAUUCCCUCACUCAAAGGUGAUCCUGCGUUGUAUUAGCUAGUUGGUGAGGUAAAGGCUCACCAAAGCGAUGAUACAUAGCCGACCUGAGAGGGUGAUCCGCCAAAAUGGGAAUGGGACACGGCCCAAACGCCUUCGGGAGGCAGCAGUAGGGAAUCAUCGGAAAUGGAGGGAAGUCUGAACGAACAAAGCAGCAGGGGUGAAGGAGGGUUUCGGGUCGUAAAAGUCUGUUGGUAGGGAAGAAAGUGGGGGAGAGUGGAAAGCUCAUCAAGUGACGGUAACUAAACAGAAAGGGACGGCUAACUACGUG
rnacentral:rRNA from 1 species